rnacentral:lncRNA from 1 species
CAGAAGACAAUAAAAAAGGGGCAAAGAUGAAUUUUUAGAAUAAAAACUUAAGAAAUUCCUUUUUUUAGCUAUUUUUUUCUUAUUUAUUUUAAUCCCACAUUUUGUACCUUCCAAGUGGUUUCGGACUUUUACCCCUUGUAACCGAUGGUUCCAAAUUUAGACUUGUGACUCCACCACAAAUUUACUUUCCCAAUUCCUUUUCCCGGAUUUUCCAUAAAUACGCCCUUUGGAACAAAAACCUCUUGUCGACAUUGGGGCACUCAUUUUCUGGAUUGGUGAGUGAGUGAGCUUGUCUCGCUCUCCUGUUACUGUCAAUGGUGAGUGGUUCUCUGAUUGAGUAGUUUGAGAUGGGGGGGGGGCAAAACAUUACCUCGCCUUUUUCGUAUUCGUAGAUAGAGGGAGCGCACCACUAUGACGUAAUAGGGUGUGAUACAAAAGAUUGCACAAAUGGUCAACAAGUAAGAUAUGUUGAGCAUUUGGACCGAUUCAUAUAAAAACCCCAAGUUUUGGAGCAAAGAUCCUCUUUUUGCUGUGAAUACUGGAACGUAGUAGUAGUGCGCGCGCGUGUAGCAUUUAAUAGAAUUGAGGUUAGCGUUGAUAAUGCCUCAUUUUAGUGGAAUUAUUGUUAAUUAGUGUUUUCUCUCUUCUUUUAGUAGUGGUUAGUAAGGUUAGACAUGCAACAUUGAAGUUAAAAAGAACAGUUAGUAGUACAAAAAGUGUGUUAGUAGUACAAAAAAACACUUGUUGCUAAGUAUAAAUCAUGCGUCGAAACAAUCGUGUGAGAAAUAAUUCGUAAAAACCUACAAGAAAAGGUCCACACAUUGGGCCUUUUCUUUUUAUCUGUGGCCUUUUUGGCAGAACCACGACAGUUAGUGCGGAGUGCGCGUCCAUCUUGAAGUCCAGUCCAGCAGAAAGUAGAAGGGUGUAAACCGUUACUACUUUACACGGUUAGCGUCCCAAAACCGCCAUCUUGCCCUACCUUCAGGAUUCAUCAAGGCCAAUGAGUCCAACUUCGAUAAGCCAACCACAUUCUGCACAAGCCCGAUGAUGAGCGGACUGAUCACCCGCUCGUCGAUACCCGUCAAGCCGUUCAACCACCAACACACCAGCAGUUCUACAACAGCCCAUCAGAGCACAUCCAAAACCGCAAGUAAAACCACCCAAAAUGUGACGUCACAAUAAAUAAUUGUAAUAAUGAGA